AUCGAACGCUGGCGGCAGGCCUAACACAUGCAAGUCGAGCGGAUGAAGGGAGCUUGCUCCUGGUUUCAGCGGCGGACGGGUGAGUAAUGCCUAGGAAUCUGCUUGGUAGUGGGGGAUAACGUCCGGAAACGGGCGCUAAUACCGCAUACGUCCUGAGGGAGAAAGUGGGGGAUCUUCGGACCUCACGCUAUCAGAUGAGCCUAGGUCGGAUUAGCUAGUUGGUGGGGUAAAGGCCUACCAAGGCGACGAUCCGUAACUGGUCUGAUUGGAUGAUCAGUCACAUGGGAAGGUGGACACGGUCCAGACGACUACGAGACGCAGCAGAGUGGAAUAUUGGACAGUAGGGGAAAGCCUUGUACAGUCAUGCCGCGUGUGUGAAGGAGGUCUUGGGUGUGUGAAGCACUUUAAGUUGGUGUAAAGCGCAUUAAGUUGAUACCUUGCUGGAUUGACGUUACCAACAGAAUAAGCACCGGCUAACUUCGUG
rnacentral:rRNA from 1 species